ensembl:misc_RNA Metazoa_SRP Metazoan signal recognition particle RNA
GCCAGGUGUGGUGGUGCGUGCCUGUAGUCCCAGCUACUCAGGUGGCUGAGGUGGGAGGAUUGCUUGAGCCCAGGAGAUCAGGGCUUCAGUGAGCUAUGAUCAUACCACUGCACUCCAGCCUGGGCAAUACAGUAAGACUCUGUCUCAA